rnacentral:rRNA from 1 species
UACGUAGGGCGCAAGCGUUGUCCGGAAUUAUUGGGCGUAAAGCGCUCGUAGGCGGUCUGUUGCGUCUGCUGUGAAAACUCGGGGCUUAACCCCGAGCCUGCAGUGGAUACGGGCAGACUAGAGGUAGGUAGGGGAGAAUGGAAUUCCCGGUGUAGCGGUGAAAUGCGCAGAUAUCGGGAGGAACACCGGUGGCGAAGGCGGUUCUCUGGGCCUGACCUGACGCUGAGGAGCGAAAGCGUGGGGAGCAAACAGG